rnacentral:tRNA from 1 species
GGAGGGGUAGCGAAGUGGCUAAACGCGGCAGACUGUAAAUCCGCUCCUUCGGGUUCGGCGGUUCGAAUCCGUCCCCCUCCACCA